rnacentral:rRNA from 1 species
UGGGGAAUCUUGCGCAAUGGGGGAAACCCUGACGCAGCGACGCCGCGUGGAGGAUGAAGGUCUUCGGGUUGUAAACUCCUUUUCUCAGGAAAGAUGAUGACGGUACCUGAGGAAUAAGCCACGGCUAACUCUGUG